GGGGUGUAGCUCAGCUGGGAGAGCACCUGCCUUGCAAGCAGGGGGUCAGCGGUUCGAAUCCGCUCAUCUCC
rnacentral:tRNA from 2 species